UUCCGGUUGAUCCUGCCAGACCUGACUGCUAUCGGAUUGAUACUAAGCCAUGCGAGUCAUUGUAGUAAUACAAGGCAUACGGCUCAGUAACGCGUAGUCAACCUAACCUAUGGACGGGAAUAACCUCGGGAAACUGAGUAUAAUGCCCGAUAGAACAUUAUGCCUGGAAUGGUUUAUGUUCCAAAUGAUUUAUCGCCGUAGGAUGGGACUGCGGCCUAUCAGUUUGUUGGUGAGGUAAUGGCCCACCAAGACUAUUACAGGUACGGGCUCUGAGAGGAGUAGCCCGGAGAUGGGUACUGAGACACGGACCCAGGCCCUAUGGGGCGCAGCAGGCGAGAAAACUUUGCAAUGUGCGAAAGCACGACAAGGUUAAUCCGAGUGGUUUCUGCUAAAGGAACCUUUUGUUAGUCCUAGAAACACUAACGAAUAAGGGGUGGGCAAGUUCUGGUGUCAGCCGCCGCGGUAAAACCAGCACCUCAAGUGGUCAGGAUGAUUAUUGGGCCUAAAGCAUCCGUAGUCGGCUCUGUAAGUUUUCGGUUAAAUCUGUACGCUCAACGUACAGGCUGCCGGGAAUACUGCAGAGCUAGGGAGUGGGAGAGGUAGACGGUACUCGGGAGGAAGGGGUAAAAUCCUUUGAUCUCUCGAUGACCACCUGUGGCGAAGGCGGUCUACCAGAACACGUCCGACGGUGAGGGAUGAAAGCUGGGGGAGCAAACCGGAUUAGAUACCCGGGUAGUCCCAGCUGUAAACUAUGCAAACUCAGUGAUGCAUUGACUUGUGGUCAAUGCAGUGCUGCAGGGAAGCCGUUAAGUUUGCCGCCUGGGAAGUACGUACGCAAGUAUGAAACUUAAAGGAAUUGGCGGGGGAGCACCACAAGGGGUGAAGCCUGCGGUUCAAUUGGAUUCAACGCCGGA
rnacentral:rRNA from 1 species